ACUGAAUAAAAUGCAUGAAACAAAGAUAAGAAAAAGUAAUUCCUUAAAAACUAGAAAAACAAUGAAAAUGAAAACAAAAAAUAAUAAAAUAAAAUAAAAACAUAAUCAGAACAUGAACAUGAUUCAUUCGUGAAGCAUAUAUGAAAUGAAACUUAUAAUCACACCAAUAGUUAUCAUAAUGGAGAAACCACUGCUUUGACUGUUGUUAGAGCCCCCAGAAUCAAAUUUAAAGUCAUCUUCACUGUGGGAGUCACUGCUGCCGCCGAAAUCAUAUUCAAAGUCAUCUUCAUAGCUAUAUUCUUCAUUGUUGCCAUCGGAGCCACCGUAAUAAUAUUCAUAGUCAUCUUCACUACUGUCACUGAUGUACUCUUCCAUUUCCUGAGAGUCUUUUUACUGAAUUUAUUAGGCUUUUUUGUAUGAAAACCUAUAUUGAUACAGUUUCUAAAACAAACUAAUACCUAGCUCAUCUUGGUUUUAAAUUAGACUCCACAACGUUAUUAAGCUGCAAUGAACAAGGUCUUUUGACUCGCCACAACCGAAACAUUACUGUGGUUGCAACCAUCAACUCUACUUAACUCUUUUUCUUACAAUAUUGUUCUUGAAAAAAUUGCAGGCACAAUUUAGAACUAUGUAUUCUCUACUGUAUCAUCAAUCUACAAAUGAAUAUAGAAGAUUAAAAGAAUGAGUUAGUACAAGGGGAUGUACGCACCUUACGCCCGGAAAGAGAAAUUUUGUCUUCAAAAUGAGAGAUCAAAUGACUUUUUCUUUUAAAGAGAGAAGUGAAUGUAGAAUUUGAAAAGACCAGGUGCCGCCUUAGUUCAUAAUUGUUUCUCUUAG
rnacentral:lncRNA from 1 species